rnacentral:rRNA from 1 species
GACGAACGCUGGCGGCGUGCCUAAUACAUGCAAGUAGAACGCUGAAGAGAGGAGCUUGCUCUUCUUGGAUGAGUUGCGAACGGGUGAGUAACGCGUAGGUAACCUGCCUUGUAGCGGGGGAUAACUAUUGGAAACGAUAGCUAAUACCGCAUAACAAUAGGUGACACAUGUCAUUUAUUUGAAAGGGGCAAUUGCUCCACUACAAGAUGGACCUGCGUUGUAUUAGCUAGUAGGUGAGGUAACGGCUCACCUAGGCGACGAUACAUAGCCGACCUGAGAGGGUGAUCGGCCACACUAGGACUGAGACACGGCCCAGACUCCUACGGGAGGCAGCAGUAGGGAAUCUUCGGCAAUGGGGGCAACCCUGACCGAGCAACGCCGCGUGAGUGAAGAAGGUUUUCGGAUCGUAAAGCUCUGUUGUAAGUCAAGAACGAGUGUGAGAGUGGAAAGUUCACACUGUGACGGUAGCUUACCAGAAAGGGACGGCUAACUACGUG